rnacentral:lncRNA from 1 species
UAUUUACAGAUUAGAAGGCAGAAAUUCUAAGACUGUUAACAGUUGUCAUUGCCUACCAAACUCAUGGAUUUCCAUCAGCAGUUUCUAAAAUUUAUGCUAAUAAGAUUAAUAUCCUGGAUUUAAUGAAACAGUGUCUAUAGAGAGAUCUGAGAUCUGGCAUAAGAUCUGAGAAAUAGGUCCCUGUACUUUUGGAAAUUCUAAGGAUCUCCUUUCAACACCAGUAUUUUCUGUGGUUACAGAAGCAUCUUCAGUCAGUUGUCACAAGAGUCUGACAUCUGUUUUUCUUGAAAAAUACUUUACUACUCCUGAAGGUUGUCAAUUUGGUUCGAGUUUUCAUCAGAGUUGGAUUAACAGCUGGAAGAAGAGUUGUCUCAUCUAAACAUUCACCAGGGGGCAAUGAGAAAAAUCUAUUAAAUUUGACAUAGGACAAUGGUACUUACUCAAUAAGACACUUUGAACAUUUGUA